rnacentral:lncRNA from 10 species
GGGUCCCCGGGCCCUGGCUGGGGGAGGUGUUGUGGGGCGCACGUACCCAAGCUCAGGUGGGACGACUGCGCGGCCGCGGCUGCAGCUGGCGCUGGCCAUUGAGGGGCUUCUGCGCCACCGUGCGAUGGUGCCCGCCAGGUGCCUGCCGGUUGGUGCGCAGCGCCUGUUCGCGCAGAGUCUGGCCUUUGCUGCGCCCGGCCAAGUCGUAAAUCUCCUCCUCGUAGCUUACAGGCGACGGCGGCCAGGCCGAAGCCUCUGGACACAGAAGCGCUAGUUCAGCGGCGGGUUACAGCCCGCCCGGCCGCCUGCGGCCAGUCAUCCGCACAUGCGCCCUCCUGGAAGCCCCAGCAGCCCCUCCGCGAGUUCCGAUUGGCUCCGCGUGAGAGACGUUCCUCGGCGACGCCAUAGAGGUGGGCCUUCGGCGACGUCACAGGCGAGGGCGUUCGGCGACGUUACUGGGGCUGCACGGUGCUUGUAGCUGGGCAGUCUUAUCAUCAGAGUGGAGCCUGGUAACCACGACCUCCCCGCCAGGUCCUGUGUGUUGCUAGCUGGAGAAGGGUAGUUGAAAACUCAGACCAAGCACAGUGUUUAUAUCGGUCAAAACUGGAAAACUAUGUCCGGGCGCAGCCGAGGCUGGAGGAUCCCUUCAGGCCAAGAGCAACCUAGCAAUAUGGCGCGACCGGAUCUCUGUAGUCCUACCUCAACCCCCAGCUACUUGAACCCCAAGGUUGAAGGCUCCAGUGAGCUAUGAUCCCACCACAGCAUUGCAGCCUGCCAGACUGAGACAUGAACUUAUGAAUUCAACACAUGAAGACUUACAACUUGAUAAACCAGCUUCAGGAGAUUGAGAAAACUUGUAUUCCUGUGAUUUCGAUAGUGAAGGAAGUAUGGUAUACCA